AACGAACGCUGGCGGCAGGCUUAACACAUGCAAGUCGAGCGCCCCGCAAGGGGAGCGGCAGACGGGUGAGUAACGCGUGGGAAUCUACCCAUCUCUACGGAAUAACGCAUGGAAACGUGUGCUAAUACCGUAUACGUCCUUCGGGAGAAAGAUUUAUCGGAGAUGGAUGAGCCAGCGUUGGAUUAGCUAGUUGGGGGGGUAAAGGCCUACCAAGGCGACGAUCCAUAGCUGGUCGGAGAGGAUGAUCAGCCACACUGGGACUGAGACACGGCCCAGACUCCUACGGGAGGCAGCAGUGGGGAAUAUUGGACAAUGGGCGCAAGCCUGAUCCAGCCAUGCCGCGUGAGUGAUGAAGGCCCUAGGGUUGUAAAGCUCUUUCACCGGUGAAGAUAAUGACGGUAACCGGAGAAGAAGCCCCGGCUAACUUCGUGCCAGCCGCCGCCGUAAAAC
rnacentral:rRNA from 1 species